ACGAACGCUGGCGGCGUGCUUAAUACAUGCAAGUCGAGCGGGGUUACUGCGACAGAUCCCUUCGGGGUGACGUUGCUUUAACCUAGCGGCGGACGGGUGAGUAACGCGUGGGUAACCUACCCUAAAGCUCGGGAUAACAGUGGGAAACCGCUGCUAAUACCGGAUGACUUUAACCUAUGGCAUCAUGGGUUAAAGAAAGAUUUAUCGCUUUAGGAUGGGCCCGCGUCCCAUUAGCUAGUUGGUAGGGUAAAGGCCUACCAAGGCGACGAUGGGUAGCCGACCUGAGAGGGUGAUCGGCCACACUGGGACUGAGACACGGCCCAGACUCCUACGGGAGGCAGCAGUGGGGAAUAUUGCACAAUGGAGGGAACUCUGAUGCAGCAACGCCGCGUGAGUGAAGAAGGUUUUCGGAUCGUAAAACUCUGUCAUUGGGGAAGAAUAAAUGACGGUACCCAAUGAGGAAGCCCCGGCUAACUACGUGCCAGCAGCCGCGGUAAUACGUAGGGGGCGAGCGUUGUCCGGAAUUACUGGGCGUAAAGGGUACGUAGGCGGCUAUAUAAGUCAGGUGUGAAAUACCAGUGCUUAACACUGGAAUUGCAUUUGAAACUG
rnacentral:rRNA from 1 species